CAGUGAGACCCUAGAGACCCUAAUUGGUUUCAGCUCUAGCAUACUAAACCUCAAGAACCUGCUCUUUCGUUCCUUCUUGGCUACAGUCUAGUCACUUUGAUAAAAAUAAAAUUGUAGGUUCUCUGAGAUUCAUAUGUUGCUAUUAAAUCUACUUAUUUGUAUCGAAGUAAGAAAUUUUCUUUUAAGAAUUUGAAUAUUUUCAUAGACAUCUUUCUGGUCACAUCAUGGCCGAGAAAUGCCGUUUCUGUGGCCAGAACUCUGGAUUAGUACUC
rnacentral:lncRNA from 1 species